rnacentral:rRNA from 1 species
GGCUCGCAGGCGGUUUCUUAAGUCUGAUGUGAAAGCCCCCGGCUCAACCGGGGAGGGUCAUUGGAAACUGGGAAACUUGAGUGCAGAAGAGGAGAGUGGAAUUCCACGUGUAGCGGUGAAAUGCGUAGAGAUGUGGAGGAACACCAGUGGCGAAGGCGACUCUCUGGUCUGUAACUGACGCUGAGGAGCGAAAGCGUGGGGAGCGAACAGGAUUAGAUACCCUGGUAGUCCACGCCGUAAACGAUGAGUGCUAAGUGUUAGGGGGUUUCCGCCCCUUAGUGCUGCAGCUAACGCAUUAAGCACUCCGCCUGGGGAGUACGGUCGCAAGACUGAAACUCAAAGGAAUUGACGGGGGCCCGCACAAGCGGUGGAGCAUGUGGUUUAAUUCGAAGCAACGCGAAGAACCUUACCAGGUCUUGACAUCCUCUGACAACCCUAGAGAUAGGGCUUUCCCUUCGGGGACAGAGUGACAGGUGGUGCAUGGUUGUCGUCAGCUCGUGUCGUGAGAUGUUGGGUUAAGUCCCGCAACGAGCGCAACCCUUGAUCUUAGUUGCCAGCAUUCAGUUGGGCACUCUAAGGUGACUGCCGGUGACAAACCGGAGGAAGGUGGGGAUGACGUCAAAUCAUCAUGCCCCUUAUGACCUGGGCUACACACGUGCUAC